rnacentral:rRNA from 1 species
UAUGGAAGGCAGCAGUGGGGAAUAUUGCACAAUGGGCGCAAGCCUGAUGCAGCCAUGCCGCGUGUAUGAAGAAGGCCUUCGGGUUGUAAAGUACUUUCAGUCGUGAGGAAGGUGUUAAGGUUAAUAACCUUAGCAAUUGACGUUAGCGACAGAAGAAGCACCGGCUAACUCCGUGCCAGCAGCCGCGGUAAUACGGAGGGUGCGAGCGUUAAUCGGAAUUACUGGGCGUAAAGGGCACGCAGGCGGUUAAUUAAGUUGGAUGUGAAAUCCCCGGGCUUAACCUGGGAAUGGCAUUCAAGACUGGUUAGCUAGAGUCUUGUAGAGGGGGUAGAAUUCCAUGUGUAGCGGUGAAAUGCGUAGAGAUGUGGAGGAAUACCGGUGGCGAAGGCGGCCCCUGGACAAAGACUGACGCUCAUGUGCGAAAGCGUGGGGAGCAAACAGGAUUAGAUACC